AGCUUUGCGCAGUGGCGGCAAAAUGACGAAUUAGGAAUUUCGAAGGUGCCUUUAUCGGUGGUUGAAAAGUUUUCCCAAUUGUGUGCGACAAUGCUUGGAAUAUGGCUGUCGUACGCAAUUGUUGAUGGUUCCAAAUUGGAA
rnacentral:snRNA from 1 species